rnacentral:rRNA from 1 species
GAGUUUGAUCCUGGCUCAGGAUGAACGCUGGCGGCGUGCCUAACACAUGCAAGUCGAACGGGGUCAUUAAGGAAAAAUCCUUCGGGAUUCGGAAUUCUUGACCUAGUGGCGGACGGGUGAGUAACGCGUGAGCAAUCUGCCUUUGGAUGGGGGAUAACAGCCGGAAACGACUGCUAAUACCGCAUAAUGCAGCGGGACCGCAUGAUUUUGCUGCCAAAGAUUUAUCGUCCAAAGAUGAGCUCGCGUCUGAUUAGCCAGUUGGCGGGGUAACGGCCCACCAAAGCGACGAUCAGUAGCCGGACUGAGAGGUUGAACGGCCACAUUGGGACUGAGACACGGCCCAGACUCCUACGGGAGGCAGCAGUGGGGAAUAUUGCGCAAUGGGGGAAACCCUGACGCAGCAACGCCGCGUGAGUGAAGAAGGCCUUCGGGUUGUAAAGCUCUUUAAUCAGGGACGAAGAAUGACGGUACCUGAAGAAUAAGCUCCGGCUAACUACGUGCCAGCAGCCGCGGUAAUACGUAGGGAGCAAGCGUUAUCCGGAUUUACUGGGUGUAAAGGGCGUGUAGGCGGGCCUGCAAGUCAGAAGUGAAAUCUGGGGGCUUAACCCCCAAACUGCUUUUGAAACUGUGGGUCUUGAGUGAUGGAGAGGCAGGCGGAAUUCCC